rnacentral:lncRNA from 1 species
UGUGAUGAGCAUCCAAUUGUCUGAGCUCUCAACACCUACUAAGGAGACCACCAUCUAGUUCAUAUUUUUUCAUUUAUAUCAUGAUUUCAAAGGAACUCACUUAUUAUUGGUUCUUCUAAUGGACGAGCCUAGAUUUUUCAUCAAGGGGCUUGGCUUUUAAAACAAAAAUUUUACAAAUGAAACUACAAAGUCAAAUGUUUGGUUUGUUGGUUUGUUUCUUUUCAAUAUGUAUAUAACCAUAUAUGAAAAUAGGACUACUAUCAAUAACGAACUAAAAGUUCCAUUCAAACGAUAGAAGAGGUCAUCACUCAAAUUCAUUUAAAAAGACUCAAAAAUUUUAGAGGAUGCUAUGUUUAUAAUGAUUAGACUUGUUCACGAGCUAAAGGCCUCGGCCCACUCAAGCCCGAAGCCUUUUUCGAGCAGGCUUGAGCUAAGGUUGUAGGCCCAUUAUUCUGGAUAGCUUGCUAGAGCCUCCCCAACCUCAAAA